rnacentral:piRNA from 1 species
UCGGAUAGCGUAUGAUUGACG